rnacentral:tRNA from 2 species
GAUUCAGUAGCUCAGCUGGUAGAGCAUUACACUUUUAAUGUAGGGGUCCUGGGUUCGAGUCCCAGCUGGAUCACAA